AGACCCGAAACCCGGUGAUCUAGCCAUGGGCAGGUUGAAGGUUGGGUAACACUAACUGGAGGACCGAACCGACUAAUGUUGAAAAAUUAGCGGAUGACUUGUGGCUGGGGGUGAAAGGCCAAUCAAACCGGGAGAUAGCUGGUUCUCCCCGAAAGCUAUUUAGGUAGCGCCUCGUGAAUUCAUCUCCGGGGGUAGAGCACUGUUUCGGCAAGGGGGUCAUCCCGACUUACCAACCCGAUGCAAACUGCGAAUACCGGAGA
rnacentral:rRNA from 1 species